CGUCAAAGGGACUGUGAAAUG
rnacentral:miRNA from 14 species